UACGAAGGGGGCUAGCGUUGCUCGGAAUCACUGGGCGUAAAGGCGCGUAGGCGGCCGAUUCAAGUCAGGAGGUAGCAAAGCCCAAGGACUCCAACCUUGGAACUGCCUUUGAUACUGUUUGGCUUGAGACCGGGAUAGGAGGUAAGUGGAACUGCGAGUGUAGAGGUGAAAUUCGUAGAUAUUCGCAAGAACACCAGUGGCGAAGGCGGCUUACUGGACCGGUUCUGACGCUGAGGCGCGAAAGCGUGGGGAGCAAACAGG
rnacentral:rRNA from 1 species